GACGAACGCUGGCGGCGUGCUUAACACAUGCAAGUCGAACGGAAAGGCCCUGCUUUUGUGGGGUGCUCGAGUGGCGAACGGGUGAGUAACACGUGAGUAACCUGCCCUUGACUUUGGGAUAACUUCAGGAAACUGGGGCUAAUACCGGAUAGGAGCUCCUGCUGCAUGGUGGGGGUUGGAAAGUUUCGGCGGUUGGGGAUGGACUCGCGGCUUAUCAGCUUGUUGGUGGGGUAGUGGCUUACCAAGGCUUUGACGGGUAGCCGGCCUGAGAGGGUGACCGGCCACAUUGGGACUGAGAUACGGCCCAGCCCCCUACGGGAGGCAGCAGGGGGGAAUAUUGCAAAAUGGGCGGAAGCCUGAUGCAGCAACCCCGCGGGGGGGAUGACGGCCUUCGGGUUGUAAACCGCUUUCGCCUGUGACGAAGCGGGAGUGACGGUAAUGGGUAAAGAAGCACCGGCUAACUACGU
rnacentral:rRNA from 1 species